GAUGAACGCUGGCGGCGUGCCUAAUACAUGCCAGUCGAGCGAACGGACGAGAAGCUUGCUUCUCUGAUGUUAGCGGCGGACGGGUGAGUAACACGUGGAUAACCUACCUAUAAGACUGGGAUAACUUCGGGAAACCGGAGCUAAUACCGGAUGAUAUUUUGAACCGCAUGGUUCAAAAGUGAAAGACGGUCUUGCUGUCACUUAUAGAUGGAUCCGCGCUGCAUUAGCUAGUUGGUAAGGUAACGGCUUACCAAGGCAACGAUGCAUAGCCGACCUGAGAGGGUGAUCGGCCACACUGGAACUGAGACACGGUCCAGACUCCUACGGGAGGCAGCAGUAGGGAAUCUUCCGCAAUGGGCGAAAGCCUGACGGAGCAACGCUGCGUGAGUGAUGAAGGUCUUCGGAUCGUAAAACUCUGUUAUUAGGGAAGAACAUAUGUGUAAGUAACUGUGCACAUCUUGACGGUACCUAAUCAGAAAGCCACGGCUAACUACGUG
rnacentral:rRNA from 1 species